AGCUGCUUCUGGAAAAUUCUGCACCCUGCCCUACUAAACCACCAGGCAUGACAUGAAUAACAAGAAUGGCCUAGCCGUCACCGGCGGAUACCCUUUCUUUUGACGUGGGCCUAACAGACUGGUACAAAUGCCCUGGUCUUGCACAUAGUGGAAAAGUCAACAAUGAAGGGGACGCCGGGGCACAAUGUGGAAAUGAAAUCCUGGGUUUAGAAGGCUUUGUCCCAACAAGGACGCAGUUGACACAGACCCUGGGGGCUUUGGAAAAGGCUGUGUAACAAAAUGCCAACUGAUGUGUUUUGAUGGGGUUAUUUGUUCACCAGCCAGUCACUAAGUGGAGAGUAGGAACCCGCUAAAUUGCUUUCGGUCAGCGUGGAGCUCUUCGCAAAUCUCCCUUCCGAAGCUGCAUGUGUCCUUUGUGCGAAGACAGCGGCAGCAAAACAAAGCCGGCACUUGAAAAGGCACGUUCUAGCUGGUAUGUGUUGCUGUGCUUCUAACAUGAUCAGUCAACACUUGCCCCGGGUCUAAGUACAGCCUUACCCGCAUGUGUGUGUGAGUGUUGCUCUGCAGAUGAGAUAACGCUAGCCCUUAUCCGUCCACGAGGUUGUUAGCCAUGCACAGCCCUCGCUGGUGUUGACAUUUCCCUGCCCAACCUGUCUGAACACAUAGGGCCAUGGAGGCUCCUCUCAGGCUGUCUGUUUCCAUGGCAGAUAAAGAGCUCUUGCUAGUGGUCACUUGCCAGCGAUGAUGCAGCCGGAUUGGGGAGACAGUUGCCAUGGGUGGUUUCACGGGGCCGAGUGGAGUGUUGGAGGGGGGAUGAUUGAUGGCGGCGGGCGGGCAGCUCUGGUGCAACGUGGAGCAGUGAGCAGGCGGCGCCGAGAGAUGAUAGAGGUGGCAUAUGAUAAACGAACAGAGGCCACCAGCAACCUUCAACUGGUACUGAGUCCACUGUAAUAAGUGGAAUUUCUCACCUGGCCCUUCUAAUAUUUUUCCAAACUUUAAGUAAAAACUAUGAAAAGAUUCUCACAUAAAAACACCAAACCCAUUUUUACAAGACUGGACCUCACUGACAACACAGUUUCUGUUCAAUCAUUCUUUGCUUCUUCAGAUCCUCUUGAUUGCGGAAUAAAUCUGCCCGGGCUUUGCCUGUGCUCUGCUCUGCAUAGUCCAUUAAUAUUCCAAUCAUCCUCUAUAUCAGUUAAAGGGGGAAAGACAGACUCCUCUUCAUCUCCCAAAACACCAGCUGUGCAGAGCCGUGAGACAUCCACACAUGCACACUGAGCUGUAAACAGAGCACUGCAGACACAUUAAUAGAUUUAUACAUGCAGGCAAACUUAUAUAAUUGAGGAGUUUGCUAGGCAUUGGCAUCAAUUUUGCAUGGGGCUCAUCCUGCAUGAUUCACAACGUGCACAGCCUCUUGUUCUUUCCUUACAUGUAUUCACAAAUUUCAACUCGAGGCACCUGCACACUAGUGGAAAGAGAGAAAGUCGAGAGGAAGUGAGUUGCUUCAUGGGCAGAUAUCAUCUCCUGCAGUCAGAUGGGUGUUGAUAAGCUGCUGGCACCCCCAGCAGUCCCCCCUUUCAUAUCCUACUCAUCCUCCUGCCAACCCAUCAUUUCUCAGAGCCUGUCCGUCACUCACGCUCCAUGCUAUCCUUGUGUUUUCAACUCUUAAACUCGAGAACUGCAUUGAAGCAGUAGUUUUGCCCUGUACCCCUGGGCUUUGCUGGUCCCCGCUCCUCUAAAGCGAUUAGUCACUCAGGCAUCGAAUGGACCAAGAGUCUGGAAGCUUCUGAUAGAGGACCGCUCGCAGCCCGAGUGACAAACUCAAGGACGUUUUCGUGUUGCCGUUGCUGUUUGUUGCAGUUGUUUAUGUGGACGGCUGCGUGAGAGUGUCCAGCUCCUGGGGGCCGUGUCGAGGCAGCGGGCCAUGGUAAUUACAUGCCACUCGUCACAGUGCCUUCUCUCUCUGCUCUGACCAGCGCCAGCAAAAAGCUAACAGCUUGUGUGUUAUCUUCGUAAUGAUUCACCCAUCGGUUCACAUGGACACAGCACUUUCCGGUCUCCCUGCACACAAACACUCAUCCCAUGCUCUUGCACAAAUUUAACCAACAGCACACGUCGAUUGUGCUGUACAUACGUGGAUGUGGUCUCGAAUGUGCAGCUCAGAGUCACAAGUGUUGGGCUCCGUUUCCUGACUGAAUUCUUAUUUUCUGAACUCCAGUGCCUCAUUUAGUCAUAUUUAGAAUCAGCAAGGCAAAUCUGAAAUGCAAACCCAUCCGAGUGCAUCUUAACACACACAGGGUAAAUUAGAAAGGUUGCUGAGCAAUACAGUGGGUUACCUUGUUUCCCAGGAAACAACAAAAUCCAAUUAAAGGAACCCAUGAACCAUAGCAACAUGUGGUAAACACAGCAUGGCACCGCCGCAAGGUUGUUAUUCAAUCAUCAGAAGUAAAACAAACAAUUACUUGUAGAAUGACCCUAAUGCGGGAACAAAUGAGAAUUUAUGCAUGAGGAAGAGUGGGUUGGGAAUGGAAGUGAUUCAUCCCUCAUGCACGUCAGCAAGAGGCUGCUCGAGCUCCUUAUUCACAAGAAUAAUGAUAUUACUGAUGAGACAAGCAUUGUGAGGAAUUUAUUAUUUUGCUGUCUAAAUGUCUUUCAUGUUCUGGACAAAGCAUUUCCAAUGAUUUUACAUUUCAAAGAGAACCCACCGUAUUGUUCUUAUCAGGAUUGAUGGAGGUAUGUUACCCAUGCUAAUUAACUGUUGCUAAUUUUGUGUUUGAAUAAAUUUGAAU